rnacentral:lncRNA from 1 species
UUUCACUUAAUUAGUUUUUGGUUUAUAUAUAAAAUUACUGCAGAAUAUAAUAGACAGCAUUAAUUAUUCAUUAAAUUUCCCAUACGGCCAUGCAUAUGUUUAGCAAGUUUGCUACGUACGUAUCUCAUACAUACAUGAGAUGAUACACCAUUCGUAUUAUAUAUAAAUAUAAAAUUUAAAUACAGGACGUACUUGGUAUGCAUGCAUACAGCCACCAAUCAAUUAAGAGCUACGCGUACAGUAUCUUACGUUGCAUGGUCAAUAAUUAAUGUCCAACGCCUGGGCUAGGACCAGAGUUCUUAACCUCUCCAGUAACUCCAUCGCCGCCGUUGAUCAAAUGAUCACUUGAUCCGUGUGAGUCCUUGAUGACCAUCCCGUGGCGGCUCAGUUUACGGUCAGAUUUGGAAGGGCCUCUGAUCAAGCGUCGUGAUGAUAAGUGGGCUUGGGAUGCUUCAGCUCCGAGAAGGAAUAAACUGGUGAUCAGGAUCACCAACAUGAGCAAUGCUACAGCCCCAGUGACGACCUUCCUUCCCAUUUAACUUGUGUGGAUGAUGAGUGACAAAUGUGGAUUGAGAGAGAGUAGUGAUUAUUAUACAGUAGUUGG